ACGGGUGAGUAACACGUAUCCAACCUGCCGUCUACUCUUGGACAGCCUUCUGAAAGGAAGAUUAAUACAAGAUGGCAUCAUGAGUUCACAUGUUCACAUGAUUAAAGGUAUUCCGGUAGACGAUGGGGAUGCGUUCCAUUAGAUAGUAGGCGGGGUAACGGCCCACCUAGUCUUCGAUGGAUAGGGGUUCUGAGAGGAAGGUCCCCACAUUGGAACUGAGACACGGUCCAA
rnacentral:rRNA from 1 species